AGUGAACGCUGGCGGCAUGCCUAACACAUGCAAGUCGAACGGCAGCACACGAGAGCUUGCUCUCUGGCUGGCGAGUGGCGGACGGGUGAGGAAUACAUCUGAAUCUGCCCAGUCGUGGGGGAUAACGUAGGGAAACUUACGCUAAUACCGCAUACGACCUUCUGCUCAAAGAGGGUGAUCGCAAGACCUCUCUCGAUUGGAUGAUCCGAUGUCGGAUUAGCUAGUUGGCGGGGUAAUGGCCCACCAAGGCCACCAUCCGUAGUGGGUCUGAGAGGAUGAUCAGCCACACUGGAACUGAGACACGGUCCAGACUCCUACGGGAGGCAGCAGUGGGGAAUAGUGGACAAUGGGCGCAAGCCUGAUACAGCCAUACCGCGUGGGUGAAGAAGGCCUUCGGGUUGUAAAGCCCUUUUGUUGGGAAAGAAAUCUUUCAGGCUAAUACCCUGGGAGGAUGACGGUACCCAAAGAAUAAGCACCGGCUAACUUCGUG
rnacentral:rRNA from 1 species